AGCACCUGAAACCGUGUGCCUACAAGAAGUUCGAGCCCGUUAAUGGGUGAGAGCGUGCCUUUUGCAGAAUGAACCGGCGAGUUACGUUAUGAUGCGAGGUUAAGUUGAAGAGACGGAGCCGUAGGGAAACCGAGUCUUAAUAGGGCGCAUUAGUAUCAUGUCGUAGACCCGAAACCAUGUGACCUACCCAUGAGCAGGUUGAAGGUGAGGUAAAACUCACUGGAGGACCGAACCAGGGCACGUUGAAAAGUGCUUGGAUGACUUGUGGGUAGCGGAGAAAUUCCAAACGAACUUGGAGAUAGCUGGUUCUCUCCGAAAUAGCUUUAGGGCUAGCGUCGAUGUUAAGUCUCUUGGAGGUAGAGCACUGUUUGGGUGAGGGGUCCAUCCCGGAUUACCAAUCUCAGAUAAACUCCGAAUGCCAAUGAGAUAUAAUCGGCAGUCAGACUGCGAGUGCUAAGAUCCGUAGUCGAAAGGGAAACAGCCCAGACCACCAGCUAAGGUCCCAAAAUAUAUGUUAAGUGGAAAAGGAUGUGGGGUUGCACAGACAACUAGGAUGUUAGCUUGGAAGCAGCUAUUCAUUCAAAGAGUGCGUAAUAGCUCACUAGUCGAGUGACCCUGCGCCGAAAAUGUACCGGGGCUAAAACAUAUUACCGAAGCUGUGGAUACCUUUAUAGGUAUGGUAGGAGAGCGUUCUAUGUGCGAAGAAGGUGUACCGUGAGGAGUGCUGGAGCGCAUAGAAGUGAGAAUGCCGGUAUGAGUAGCGAAAGACAGGUGAGAAUCCUGUCCACCGUAAGACUAAGGUUUCCAGGGGAAGGCUCGUCCGCCCUGGGUUAGUCGGGACCUAAGGAGAGACCGAAAGGUGUAUCCGAUGGACAACAGGUUGAUAUUCCUGUACUAGAGUAUAUAGUGAUGGAGGGACGCAGUAGGCUAACUAAACCAGACGAUUGGAAGUGUCUGGCCAAGCAGUGAGGUGUGAUAUGAGUCAAAUGCUUAUAUCUAUAACAUUGAGCUGUGAUGGGGAGCGAAGUUUAGUAGCGAAGUUAGUGAUGUCACACUGCCGAGAAAAGCUUCUAGCGUUAAUUAUACUCUACCCGUACCGCAAACCGACACAGGUAGUCGAGGCGAGUAGCCUCAGGUGAGCGAGAGAACUCUCGUUAAGGAACUCGGCAAAAUGGCCCCGUAACUUCGGGAGAAGGGGCGCUGACUUAUGGUCAGCCGCAGUGAAUAGGCCCAAGCAACUGUUUAUCAAAAACACAGCUCUCUGCUAAAUCGUAAGAUGAUGUAUAGGGGGUGACGCCUGCCCGGUGCUGGAAGGUUAAGAGGAGUGCUUAGCAAUAGCGAAGGUAUGAAUUGAAGCCCCAGUAAACGGCGGCCGUAACUAUAACGGUCCUAAGGUAGCGAAAUUCCUUGUCGGGUAAGUUCC
rnacentral:rRNA from 1 species